GACGAACGCUGGCGGCGUGCUUAACACAUGCAAGUCGAACGGAAAGGCCCUGCUUUUGUGGGGUGCUCGAGUGGCGAACGGGUGAGUAACACGUGAGUAACCUGCCCUUGACUUUGGGAUAACUUCAGGAAACUGGGGCUAAUACCGGAUAGGAGCUCCUGCUGCAUGGUGGGGGUUGGACAGUUUCGGCGGUUGGGGAUGGACUCGCGGCUUAUCAGCUUGUUGGUGGGGUAGUUGCUUACCAAGGCUUUGACGGGUAGCCGGCCUGGGAGGGUGACCGGCCACAUUGGGACUGAGAUACGGCCCAGACUCCUACGGGAGGCAGCAGUGGGGAAUAUUGCACAAUGGGCGGAAGCCUGAUGCAGCAACGCCGCGUGCGGGAUGACGGCCUUCGGGUUGUAAACCGCUUUCGCCUGUGACGAAGCGUGAGUGACGGUAAUGGGUAAAGAAGCACCGGCUAACUACGUG
rnacentral:rRNA from 1 species